rnacentral:rRNA from 1 species
GUAAAAAGUAGAAUAAUAGAUUUGAAAUAUUUAUUAUAUAGAUUUAAAGAGAUAAUCAUGGAGUAUAAUAAUUAAAUUUAAUAAAUUUAAUAUAACUAUUAAUAGAAUUAGGUUACUAAUAAAUUAAUAACAAUUAAUUUUAAAACCUAAAGGUAAACCUUUAUAUUAAUAAUGUUUUUUUUUUAUUAUUUUUAUAAUAAGAAUAAUUAUUAAUAAUAAUAAACUAAGUGAACUGAAACAUCUAAGUAACUUAAGGAUAAGAAAUCAACAGAGAUAUUAUGAGUAUUGGUGAGAGAAAAUAAUAAAGGUCUAAUAAGUAUUAUGUGAAAAAAAUGUAAGAAAAUAGGAUAACAAAUUCUAAGACUAAAUACUAUUAAUAAGUAUAGUAAGUACCGUAAGGGAAAGUAUGAAAAUGAUUAUUUUAUAAGCAAUCAUGAAUAUAUUAUAUUAUAUUAAUGAUGUACCUUUUGUAUAAUGGGUCAGCAAGUAAUUAAUAUUAGUAAAACAAUAAGUUAUAAAUAAAUAGAAUAAUAUAUAUAUAUAUAAAAAUAUAUUAAAAUAUUUAAUUAAUAUUAAUUGACCCGAAAGCAAACGAUCUAACUAUGAUAAGAUGGAUAAACGAUCGAACAGGUUGAUGUUGCAAUAUCAUCUGAUUAAUUGUGGUUAGUAGUGAAAGACAAAUCUGGUUUGCAGAUAGCUGGUUUUCUAUGAAAUAUAUGUAAGUAUAGCCUUUAUAAAUAAUAAUUAUUAUAUAAUAUUAUAUUAAUAUUAUAUAAAGAAUGGUACAGCAAUUAAUAUAUAUUAGGGAACUAUUAAAGUUUUAUUAAUAAUAUUAAAUCUCGAAAUAUUUAAUUAUAUAUAAUAAAGAGUCAGAUUAUGUGCGAUAAGGUAAAUAAUCUAAAGGGAAACAGCCCAGAUUAAGAUAUAAAGUUCCUAAUAAAUAAUAAGUGAAAUAAAUAUUAAAAUAUUAUAAUAUAAUCAGUUAAUGGGUUUGACAAUAACCAUUUUUUAAUGAACAUGUAACAAUGCACUGAUUUAUAAUAAAUAAAAAAAAAUAAUAUUUAAAAUCAAAUAUAUAUAUAUAUAUUUGUUAAUAGAUAAUAUACGGAUCUUAAUAAUAAGAAUUAUUUAAUUCCUAAUAUGGAAUAUUAUAUUUUUAUAAUAAAAAUAUAAAUACUGAAUAUCUAAAUAUUAUUAUUACUUUUUUUUUUAAUAAUAAUAAUAUGGUAAUAGAACAUUUAAUGAUAAUAUAUAUUAGUUAUUAAUUAAUAUAUGUAUUAAUUAAAUAGAGAAUGCUGACAUGAGUAACGAAAAAAAGGUAUAAACCUUUUCACCUAAAACAUAAGGUUUAACUAUAAAAGUACGGCCCCUAAUUAAAUUAAUAAGAAUAUAAAUAUAUUUAAGAUGGGAUAAUCUAUAUUAAUAAAAAUUUAUCUUAAAAUAUAUAUAUUAUUAAUAAUUAUAUUAAUAAUAUAUAUAAUUAUAUUAUAUAUUUUUUUUUUAUAUAAUAUAAACUAAUAAAGAUCAGGAAAUUAUUAAUGUAUACCGUAAUGUAGACCGACUCAGGUAUGUAAGUAGAGAAUAUGAAGGUGAAUUAGAUAAUUAAAGGGAAGGAACUCGGCAAAGAUAGCUCAUAAGUUAGUCAAUAAAGAGUAAUAAGAACAAAGUUGUACAACUGUUUACUAAAAACACCGCACUUUGCAGAAACGAUAAGUUUAAGUAUAAGGUGUGAACUCUGCUCCAUGCUUAAUAUAUAAAUAAAAUUAUUUAACGAUAAUUUUAUUAAAUUUAGGUAAAUAGCAGCCUUAUUAUGAGGGUUAUAAUGUAGCGAAAUUCCUUGGCCUAUAAUUGAGGUCCCGCAUGAAUGACGUAAUGAUACAACAACUGUCUCCCCUUUAAGCUAAGUGAAAUUGAAAUCGUAGUGAAGAUGCUAUGUACCUUCAGCAAGACGGAAAGACCCUAUGCAGCUUUACUGUAAUUAGAUAGAUCGAAUUAUUGUUUAUUAUAUUCAGCAUAUUAAGUAAUCCUAUUAUUAGGUAAUCGUUUAGAUAUUAAUGAGAUACUUAUUAUAAUAUAAUGAUAAUUCUAAUCUUAUAAAUAAUUAUUAUUAUUAUUAAUAAUAAUAAUAUGCUUUCAAGCAUAGUGAUAAAACAUAUUUAUAUGAUAAUCACUUUACUUAAUAGAUAUAAUUCUUAAGUAAUAUAUAAUAUAUAUUUUAUAUAUAUUAUAUAUAAUAUAAGAGACAAUCUCUAAUUGGUAGUUUUGAUGGGGCGUCAUUAUCAGCAAAAGUAUCUGAAUAAGUCCAUAAAUAAAUAUAUAAAAUUAUUGAAUAAAAAAAUAAUAUAUAUUAUAUAUAUUAAUUAUAAAUUGAAAUAUGUUUAUAUAAAUUUAUAUUUAUUGAAUAUAUUUUAGUAAUAGAUAAAAAUAUGUACAGUAAAAUUGUAAGGAAAACAAUAAUAACUUUCUCCUCUCUCGGUGGGGGUUCACACCUAUUUUUAAUAGGUGUUCACCCCUCUUCGGGGUUCCGGUUCCCUUUCGGGUCCCGGAACUUAAAUAAAAAUAAUUAUGGAAAGAAUUAAAUUAAUAUAAUGGUAUAACUGUGCGAUAAUUGUAACACAAACGAGUGAAACAAGUACGUAAGUAUGGCAUAAUGAACAAAUAACACUGAUUGUAAAGGUUAUUGAUAACGAAUAAAAGUUACGCUAGGGAUAACAGGGUAAUAUAACGAAAGAGUAGAUAUUGUAAGUUAUGUUUGCCACCUCGAUGUCGACUCAACAUUUCCUCUUGGUUGUAAAAGCUAAGAAGGGUUUGACUGUUCGUCAAUUAAAAUGUUACGUGAGUUGGGUUAAAUACGAUGUGAAUCAGUAUGGUUCCUAUCUGCUGAAGGAAAUAUUAUCAAAUUAAAUCUCAUUAUUAGUACGCAAGGACCAUAAUGAAUCAACCCAUGGUGUAUCUAUUGAUAAUAAUAUAAUAUAUUUAAUAAAAAUAAUACUUUAUUAAUAUAUUAUCUAUAUUAGUUUAUAUUUUAAUUAUAUAUUAUCAUAGUAGAUAAGCUAAGUUGAUAAUAAAUAAAUAUUGAAUACAUAUUAAAUAUGAAGUUGUUUUAAUAAGAUAAUUAAUCUGAUAAUUUUAUACUAAAAUUAAUAAUUAUAGGUUUUAUAUAUUAUUUAUAAAUAAAUAUAUUAUAAUAAUAAUAAUUAUUAUUAUUAAUAAAAAAUAUUAAUUAUAAUAUUAAUAAAAUACUAAUUUAUCAGUUAUCUAUAUAAUAUCUAAUCUAUUAUUCUAUAUACU